rnacentral:rRNA from 1 species
GACGAACGCUGGCGGCGUGCUUAACACAUGCCAGUCGAACGAGUGCCGAACGGGUGAGUAAUACGUGGGUAACCUGCCCUCUUUUUGGGAUAAGCUUUGGAAACGGGGUCUAAUACCGAAUAAGGGGGAUGGGCUCGCGGCCUAUCAGCUGGUUGGUGGGGUGAUGGCCUACCAAGGCGGUGGAGGGUAGCCGGCCUGCGAGGGUGACCGGCCGCAUGGGGAUUGAGAUACGGCCCAGAAGCCUACGGGAGGGAGCAGUGGGGGAUAUGGCGCAAGGGGCGAAUGCCUGGUGCAGUGAAGCCGCGUGGGGGGUGAAGGCUUUCGGGAUGUAAGCCGCUUUCGCUAUCGAAGGGGUACGUGGAGAAGAAGCGCCGGCUAACUACGUGCCAGCAGCCGCGGUAAUAC